rnacentral:rRNA from 1 species
GACGAACGCUGGCGGCGUGCUUAACACAUGCAAGUCGAACGGAGUGGGGAGCGGGCGGGUGAGUCGUGGGUGACCAGCCGUGCAAUUCGGGAGAAGCAUGGGUAGCAGGGUCUACUAACGGCUCGUGUGGGAUGGGGCCGGGGCAUAUCAGCUUGGUGGUGGGGUAAUGGCCUACCGAGGCGGCGACGGGUAGCCGGCCUGGGAGGGUGGACGGACACCUUGGGACUGAGAGAGGGCCCAGACGGCAACGGGGGGCAAGGGGAGGGAGUAUUGCGCAGUGGGCGGAAGCCUGAUGCAGCGGCGCCGCGUGGGGGAUGACGGUCAUCGGGGUGGAAACUCCUUUCACCAACGACGCGGUAGUUGGAGAAGAAGCACCGGCUAACUACGUGCCAGCAGCCGCGGUAAUUC